rnacentral:rRNA from 1 species
GCUAAACGCGAAGAACCUUACCUGGCCUUGACAUGUCCGGAAUUCUGCAGAGAUGCGGAAGUGCCUUCGGGAAUCGGAACACAGGUGCUGCAUGGCUGUCGUCAGCUCGUGUCGUGAGAUGUUGGGUUAAGUCCCGCAACGAGCGCAACCCUUGUCCUUAGUUGCCAGCGAGUAAUGUCGGGAACUCUAAGGAGACUGCCGGUGACAAACCGGAGGAAGGUAGGGAUGACGUCAAGUCCUCAUGGCCCUUACGGCCAGGGCUACACACGUACUACAAUGGUCGGUACAAAGGGUUGCCAAGCCGCGAGGUGGAGCUAAUCCCAUAAAACCGAUCGUAGUCCGGAUCGCAGUCUGCAACUCGACUGCGUGAAGUCGGAAUCGCUAGUAAUCGUGAAUCAGAAUGUCACGGUGAAUACGUUCCCGGGUCUUGUACACACCG